GGUUCGGUCCCCUGCAAUGGGUCUUGUUCGAACCGGGUCAGGCCGGGAACGGAGCAGCCCUAAGGAUGUAGAUCCAUGUGCGGGGUGCCCGGACCCAC
rnacentral:SRP_RNA from 1 species